rnacentral:rRNA from 1 species
UACGUAGGGUGCGAGCGUUGCCCGGAUUUAUUGGGCGUAAAGGGCGCGUAGGCGGUCACGCACGUCCGAUGUGAAAUCUCCCGGCUCAACUGGGAAACUGCAUCGGAAACUGAUCGGCUUGAAGAUGGGAGAGGGUAGUGGAAUUCCCGGUGUAGUGGUGAAAUGCGUAGAUAUCGGGAGGAACACCAGUGGCGAAGGCGACUACCUGGCCCAUUCUUGACGCUGAGGCGCGAAAGCUAGGGGAGUGAACGGG